CUGACACACUGCACCUGUCUGGGCACAGUACAGCUCAUGCCACCAUGCCAGCUGUCUCUCCUCUGGUAACCCUUGAUUUAUGUUGCACUUUGGCAGUCUUUAAGCCUGCAGCAGCGAGAACACUUCCACCAAGAUGCCUAUGCUGGUGUAGAUGGCAGUAACAUGGUUUUUAAUGAGCUUCUGUCUGAAUGGUUUCUGCCAUCUACGCCAUCUGUCUCAUCUUUUAGUAAACCAGUCCAUCCAACAAGCACAUGAAGAUCUUGCUGUAACUAAGGGCCAUGGAGAAGUGUCACAUCCUACUCAAAAGAGGCUGCACAGUCUCUCAGACGGUUCACCAUGCAGCUUUAUGAAUCAUCAAUUAUCUAAUCUAAGCUGAGCUGAAAAUAAAUGAUUUCCUUUUUUAGAUGUUGCAGAUUGUGUAACUCUGCUGCUCUGGCUGUGUGAGUGUGAAGAGCGUGUAGCAUGCUGUGGAGAAGGCCAGAGGUUGUGUACAUACAGAGACGGAACCGCUGUGCGUGUAUGUGUGUAACAGCUGGGUUGGAUCGUUUCCAUGAUUUUAUUAUUACACUGAGUGAUUGCAUAACUCUCUGAUCUCCUGCUCCAGCUUGCUGCUUGCCCUACAUAUCUCCUGUCCAAGACUGAGCUUUAAGAUGCUGCAAAUUGUGUCAUCCUCAAACUCUCAAACAAAUGAAUUUCUUUUUUUAGUCACUGCUUGCCACAAUGUUCUGUUGCAUCUAGUUCAGCAUCAUGCCAGUUUCUUAUUUAGCAACUUCAUAGUAAAUCCAGAAAGCAGUUUGAUCAAAAAGAAUAUAAAUCUCCACUUAAUUUUUUUUAUUUUUGAGAAGUUAUUAAAAGUUUGUUCACACACUACAUCACUGAAGACUGUUUCAAAGAGAAGGAUGCUUCAUAUACAGCUGGGAAAUACAGCCGACAUUUGAAGAAAUUUGAAGGCCGCAACUGAUGUAUCCAUUGUGGCCUUUGGUUGCCCACAAUUCACUAAGCACAUCCAAAAAGAGGGGAAAAUAUCACCAUGAAAUUUGGGGCAAAAAUGAUGAGAAAGUAUAACUCUGGUGUAGAAUUAAUUUAAAAAUGUUUCAAAGUAUUUCUGUGAAGAAAUAAAAAAAGCAAACAAGUUUUGCACCUUGGGUUCUAAACAUUAUUACAGCUGGGUAUAGCUCUUUCAGAUCCUAGUCUCUACAAACUAGCUAUGGAUAUUUUAAAGUAAACAACAAAUCACAUUUGUAAGUAGCUCUGGAUAAGGGCGUCUGCUAAAUACCCUAAAUGUGAAUGUAAAUGAGCAUGUCAUCUCAUAUGUGUGCCCAACAGGCUACUAAGAAGAAUCAUUCAAAGACCAGUUGUGU